rnacentral:rRNA from 1 species
AUAUCAGUCAUGCAUAGCAUAUCAAUAAGCGGAGGAAAAGGAACUAACAAGGAUUCCCUUAGUAACGGCGAGUGAAGCGGGAAGAGCUCAAAUUUGAAAUCUUCAAGGUUUUACCUUGACGAAUUGUAGUUUAAAGAAGUGUCUUCUGUUGAAGUUUUGGUAAAAGUUCUUUGGAAUAGGACAUCAUAGAGGGUGAGAAUCCCGUAUUUGACCAUUACUUUCAGCUUUGUGAUACACUUUCAAAGAGUCGGAUUGUUUGGGAAUGCGGUCCAAAAUGGGUGGUAAAUUUCAUCUAAAGCUAAAUAUUGGCGAGAGACCGAUAGCGAACAAGUACCGUGAGGGAAAGAUGAAAAGAACUUUGAAAAGAGAGUUAAACAGUACGUGAAAUUGUCAAAAGGGAAGCGUUUGACACCAGUGUUGUUUUCUCGAAAAUCAAUUAAAAAGAGUUGGAUUUUGUGUUGUAUUGACUUUAUCAGCUUUCUUCACUCUUUUCCAGCUUUUUUUAAUGCACUUUUCGUUUAACAAGUCAACAUCAGUUUCUUUUGUUGUAAAAAGGUCAUUGGAAGGUGGCUUUCUCUUCGGAGAAAGUGUUUAUAGCCUUUGACUCAUGCAAUCGGAGAGACUGAGGUCUGCAGCGUAGAUCCUUCGGGGUUAGAUACAUUUGUGCUAAGUUAUAGCUUUUCAUAGACAACUUGUUGACUAUGUUUAGUCUUGUAGCUUACUCGCUUAUGCUAUUUUACCUACGCUUAGGAUGUUGAACUCUAUCACACACAG